rnacentral:snRNA from 1 species
GUGCUCGCUUCGGAAGCACAUAUACUAAAAUUGGAACGAUGCAGAGAAGAUUAGCAUGGCCCC